rnacentral:lncRNA from 1 species
CAUUCCAAUACUUGAUGGGAGGAAGUCUUUGUCUCUCCCUUUCUUUGACUAAAGCAGUCCACCAAUACAUUGCAUACCCUUGAAAGCUAAGGGUAGCAAGUGAAACUUUCCUCUCUUCUGACACUUGUUGACAAGCAAAGAUUUGCUCUACUUUCAUCUCCCAAUCUAGGUAAGCCUCAAUAUUGUCUUUCCCAUGGAAAUGAGGCAAUACCACAUUGACUUCUUUAAGGAGGGGGAGUUUCAAAUUCCCGCCUAUGCCUUCUUGAUGAAGAAGGAUAGUACUCUCCUACUCCUAAGUUUUCUUGAUCUCUUUGUGACUCUCCACUCAUACUUCUCUCUUUAAGUUGAGCUUGUUCUUCCCUCAACAUUUUCAACUCAUUAGUGACCAUGGCACUGUGUAACUCUCUUUGAACCUUUUCUUGUCCUAUUUUCUUUUCAAUUUCAGUGAGGUGGUUGAUAAGAGUUUGAAAACAAAACUGAUCUUUAGGUUCCUCAUGGAUCCUAGGAGAAUGCCUUCCAGACAUUAUAAUGGACUUAAAUGUUACUCUUGAAAUAAAGACUAGAGAUUUUCACUUGAAAGCAAUAUUCCAGGUAAGGGAGGUGAUUCACUAGGAAUGCUUAAGUACCAAGCCUUAUCCUUGCCAAAUAUGCUUCUAGCUACUUACUAGAG